rnacentral:rRNA from 1 species
AUGAAUGUUGCGCUCAUUUUGUGAUGGGUUUGGCGGAUCAUGCGCGGCGAGGGUGGCCUGGGGCUCCAGCUCCUUUAGGCAAAUUACCUAAGGGGUGAGCCGCUGCUAGCAUGUUCCCGCACAGGUGAUUCCCAGUUUUGGAGAUCCAUCCAAGGAAUCAAGAGGAUAUGGAGAGCUUCCCUAGCCUCUAUAGGUAAUGGGUCUGGGACCCAAUUUUGGCUGGACCCCUGGGUGGGUAUCAUGCCCCUUAGGGAGAGCUUCCCUAGCCUAUUCUCAAUAUGCGCAGACCCGCUUCUGCUCGUCGAUGCGGCUUCCCGAUCUGGACGGUGGGACCUAAGGUUUCGUCAUACAUUUGGGCAAGCAGAGACUGACGAGUGGACUAGAUUGCAACCGACCCUCCCGCGGACGCUGCCGGACUCUCCGGACAGCGUAUCAUGGCGGCUAUCGCAAUCGGGUGAGUUCUCGGUAAACUCGGAAUACCCGACAUUAUGCCAAUCGCCCAUUAUUACUUGGCCUCCCCACUUGUGGAAGGCCCCUUUGUCUCUGAAGAUUAAGAUCUUUGUGUGGCAACUUUUACAAGAUCGACUCCCUUCGGGAACUGAAGUGCUUAAGCGGCAUAGCUCGGGUGAUGGCUUGUGCCCCUAUGUGCGGUACGUGAGACUGGGACACACAUCCUAUUCUCCUAUACGGUGGCUCGGGCCCUAUGGAUGUUCAUUCGUGAAGCUCUAG